rnacentral:rRNA from 1 species
CCUACGGGAGGCAGCAGUGGGGAAUAUUGCGCAAUGGGGGAAACCCUGACGCAGCAACGCCGCGUGUGUGAUGAAGGCCUUCGGGUCGUAAAGCACUGUGAGGUGGAACGAGCCGCCGGGGGUUAAUACCCUUCGGCCCGACGGUACCACCAGAGGAAGCACCGGCUAACCCUGUGCCAGCAGCCGCGGUAAU